ensembl:lncRNA
AGUGAAAAUAUACUAGGAGAGACAAUUCAGUUGUGUAUCACAUUUAUUUUGCACAUUCAGUGGGUGUUAAGAACACUAACAUACAGGAGGGUGUGUAACAUUAGCAGAGCUCUCACAGCAUUUUGCAGUACAGUAUAUGUCAAAUAUUCACACUAAUACAACAUUUUGAAGUGUCUGGCAAAUUAAUUUUUGAACACCAAAGUGAUUGUGUAUAGGACACAAUAAAAAAAAAAAAAACUUUAAUCUGGGUUUUUUUUUUUCUCUGUGUAUUGUUUGUCACACGGAUUGAAUCUUUUAAUAUCUUUCCAUUUUGUCACACACAAAAAAGUAUCUUCUAUCCGAAAGACAUUACUUGGAGGAUAGUGUGCGCUUUUAUACAGGGAGUGUGGCUUGAGCCUUUAAGAAGCUUGAAUGGAAAGAAGCAUUUUUCCAUCCAGAAUUACAGUUUAGAAUCUAAUAUCUCUAUGACAGACAAACCAUGUGCCAUAAAACCAGCUGACCAUUGGCGGUUAAUUUGUGGGGAAUUGAUCGGGAAUGUUCGGAUGUAUGUUUAGGAUGUGACACUGUGCAUUUUGAGCUUCUCAGAUCUGUUAUUGUCUCUGCUCUGAUGGGUCUCCUCAAUCUUGGGCACAUUUCCUGCUUGGGAUUGAAAUACGAGAAUCAUUUACAUGUUCUGGUUUCGGUUCUGAUUCUGGUUCUUUAACAGUUAAGUUAACAAUUAUUUUUAAUACUUCUAAGGAAAAUAUAUUUGGGGAAAAUGCAAUUACAUUGUCAAUUGCCAACUGAUGAGUUCAUUUCAAUAAUAAGUACAUUUAAAACAAUUCUUAUAAUAGUCUUUUUAGGCAGCAUAAAUGCAAUCCAAUGAUUGACCUUAAAUAUAUUUGACAAAAGUACUAAACAAACUAUUUAUUUUAUUAAUAUUUAUAAAAUACUAAUAACAAAACACAUAAUAUGUAUCUUUAAACUACACAUUGUUGUCAUGUGAACAACCAGUCAGUCAUUAUGCUAAAUAGUUACAGAAGAAUCAUUUUUGGUUCCCCAAAGAACCUUUAAGUGAACAUUUCAUAAAAUAAACUUUUUAUUUUCUUAGUGUAAAGAACA